rnacentral:lncRNA from 1 species
CUCAACACAAAAUAUUCUCAGGUUUUUUCCUAUAAAUAAUUGUUUCGAUCUUUUCAUUGUGUUAAUCAAAAUUCGAUCAAAAUAUGGGCUCUAAAUAUUCAUUAGUAUUACUUUUACUUGGAAUGAUAAUGCUUACCACCGUGGUUGGUGAAAGAAAUAGUAAUAAUUUUCGACAUUCUCCUAUGUUAGAUCCAGAAGAUGAUUGGCCAGAAAUUUUUCAUGAACAACUACCAUCCAACUAUAAAAUAUCUAAGAGGAGUCAUCAGAUUACGAGACAAACUUGUCAGAUGAAGCCAUCAACCACAUCGUUUGAGCCAGUCCACAUUGCAAAAAUUUCAUACCAUUACAAGUGAUCGAAGUGGCAAAAGUGGAUCUAGUAAAAUAAUAAGAACAAUUGUUUGUCGUAUGAAGUUUUAUUUUCUUUAUUUUUUCCUAUUCACCUUUAAGAACAACUGUCUAGUAAAAUAAUAAGAACAAUUUCCCCCUUUAUUUGAUUAAAGACUCUAUGAAGAUGUAUAUGUAUAAUAAUUACCUCUCAUUUCAGCAUAAAUCAUAUCAACUACCAAUGGUUUUAUCUAUGAUAACAAUAAUAAUGCCAAUUUGGAUUGAUAUAUACUCCAUCUAUCUCAAUUUAAUUGUCACUUUUACAAUUUUUUUUGUCUAAAUAAUUUUUUUUAGAGGUCUAUCUCAAAAUAAUUGUCACUUUAUAAUAUUAAUGUAGUAUUUAUUAUUUUUCCAGUGAUAAAUCUUUAUUUGUUGAAUUUCAACAAAUUUAACUACUACAACUAAUAAAAGUGUUUUUCCCUCAAAAAUAAUAAUUAAUAAAAGUGUUUUCAUAUAUGAUACUAAUUGUAUCAUUGAAAUCAUUUUAAUUAAUCACUUUCUUAUGAACCGCGUACAACCUAAAAACGACAAUUAAAAUGAGAUAAGUUGUAAAAAAUAAAUUUUUUUGAUUAAAUUUAUCCGACAUUUUAACUUUAAAAUUUAUUGAAUCAUCAUGAGUUAAGAUAAGGCAGGAUCAACUCAUUGACCUGGAAUAUUUGUAUGCUUAAAUUCAUCUUUUUGUAAUGAUGGAGUGCUAAAUGGUAUGGUGUAGUUUCGGAGAAGACCAUGCGAAAAAUAGUAAUGAGAACAACUAUGUUCAAACUAGAUUAUUUUGUGAUUGUGUUAUGCUUUUUAUAAGUUUAAUUGAUUCUCAGGGCAUAGUUGUUAUAAAUGUUUUAGUGAGAAAAAAUAGAACAAAACAAAAGGUUCAACCACGACCAAACUCACAAAGCGCAAUACGAGAUGUGCAUCGCAAUAUUCGAAGGAAUUGACCUAUGUCCAGUCUCAUAUCAACUCGUAUCACGCACUAUGAUUAGCACACCAUUAGGUCAUAAGGAAUUAUAAGGUGUUUGCUCUCACACAACUUGCAUCGCAACAUAAAGACCCCACAUUGAAGGCUAAUUAUUCUGAAAAAGUAGGAAAACACUCAUAUAAAUAGUGAAUGAAGGUGAGAAAAAUUCAAGAGAUUUUUCCAGCAUAAAUAAAUCCUGAUUACAACAUCAACAUUAUGACAACCUAGUCAUAGAUUUUCUUUCCUUAACCUAGAGGACUUCUUGAUCUCAAACCAAAGAUUUAAAACAAGAUAUUACAAUAGUUGCGUUUACAUAAACUUUAGGAGUAGUAAACAUAUGUAAGCACAAAAGACUUAAAAGUGUAUCUAAUGACUUUCUAUGACUCUCUAUAGACAAGCUAUACAAUCAACAUAAUAUGAAUAAAGUAUGUAUAUAAUAUAUUCUUAUGUAUGUAUGUAUAUCUACAUGUAGGUGUGUACGUGCGAAACCUUCUUUAGUCAUAGCUUGUUCCUUUAUAAAGAGAUGAAGCUUGAUGAUUGUUGCCGAAGAAUUAACCGUGUCUUUGAAUGUCUAAUUGAAUUUUGAGAUAUUUUGAUUAAAUAUAUUCGUUGAAUCAACAUUUCAUUUCCAUCAAUGAUGCUCUUAAUAAUUUUUUCUCAAUUGCAUUAGUCAGAACAUUGUUUCCUUUCUUAGCGAAGAGUCAUUGCAUGCAUCAAUGAUGUAUCCUUAAGUUAUCUUGUUAAUGCAAAGGAUCUGAGUCCAGAGGCUUGAAGCACGUAGAAUUUACUCCUAUAAAAUUUGAGCUUGAUCUUGAUACAGAGUCUUGUUUUUAUCUACAACAAAUAGAUUCACUUCAAUGUCUAGAGAGUUGACUAGUAGCCCAUAUUGUUGACUUGGUCUAGAGGCAAAACUUCAUAACACGCCCCAAUCAAACUCUCUGCCUAUCCUUUAAUAAUCCAUAUAAAGGCUUAAAAUACGACUUAAGAUCGCCUACACCUUACUCUCGCUUAGUAAACUAGAAUCACUCCACUAAUUAAGACUUACAUCGCUCAUAUGUAAUUGAAUACUACCUAAUAUACAUUCCCUGAAGUAUCCUUCACAUUAGCAUUUAUAGCUAUCUAUCUAAAACAUUAUCCACCAGAUGGUUAUCACCCCAGUUCGUAACUAACUUAAAUCACAUCCAUGAAUUUGUCAUAACUUAUUCACUGACAACUAAGCUUUCAAGGUCGAACUGAGAAUUCUCAACCCAUACUACCAUCCUUAUUGGUAAAUCCUCAAUACUGAACUCAUGUCUCAUAUUACUUCAACUUAUAUCUAGAACUAAUUUAACUCCAAGGUUGCCGUCUUAACGUUUAACUUCUUAUCCCGAAGACUAAAACUCCCCUUCCGAAAUGGCACCAGCUGUGAAACAUAUUUGAGAAGCCGGGGUGUCUCUCCCACUUGUUUUUUCCCUACACGCAACUUCCUGUUGAACUUCCACUCUCCCAUAUUAGUUGAAACGUCACAAGGCUUACAUGACAAAACAAGGGGUAAGAAAUCCUGCCAUAACAUAAUAAUAGGGAAAAACAUGCAUAUUAAAUAAAUAUCAAAAUAAUAUAAUCUCCAACAUAUCUCCACUCUCAACAAUUAUUAUGUAUAAUCUCUUCUUUUCACAUAUCACAUCAGCACAUCAUUUUCACACUGAAAAAACCCCCAAGCACAAACAUCAUCAUAUACAUGCAUAUGGACUCUCCUAUAGACCUAUAUUAAUGUGGUACCACACCUACUCAUUAUUUCACCAGAGUUAUGUUACUAGAAAUUCACUACAUAAAUUUCUAGAGGUAUAUGUUACUGGACUUUCAUUGCAUAAUAUGUCAGAUGUAUAUAAUACUGGACUUUCACUGCAUAACAAUGCAAGACAUCAUGCUCUAGACUCUACAUGGAAUCAUAGAAUUAAAAUCAACAAGUAUUACAAGUAUACACUUAACACCUAAUCCACAUAGUAAUGCAAGAUUCAUCCUACGAUGCACAACUCUAAUGCAAGCACACAAAACAUCAUCUCCACUCUCAUCAUCAUCAUCAUCAUCAUCAUCAUCAUCAUCAUUAUCAUCAUAGAUAAACAUCAUCACUCUCACUAUCGGCAUAACUUAACCAUUAACGCUCUCAUCAUGACAAAAACAUAGACAUCAUCAUUGUCAUUGUUAUUAUAAUAUAACAUCAUCAUUUGCCAUCAUGGUAAUUUCUUUACAUAUAUAUAAUAUGAAUCGUCAUCACUCUUUGUCAUAGUUGUAGGACUCCUCUUCAUUAUUCUCUAUCAUAUGUUUAUAUCACAACCUUAUCUCUUCAUUAAUCAACACCUUACGCGUGACUCAUUUGACGUCAACAUCCCUUUAUUCUAUUUUAUUAUUCAUCUUACAGACGUACUAUAUUCUCUCAUCUAUUCUAGGCCCUAUAUAUACUUUAUUCUGAUAUCAUACCCUAUUCAUCAUUCUUAGCCUUAAGAUAUUUAUUUGUUCAUUAUCAUUAUAUACAAAGUCUCCUGUCUUUACAACUAGGUCCUACCUCACCAUCGUCAUUAACUCCUUCAUACUGAUUCUUCUCAAUAAAAAUAAUUUAUAUCUUAUUAAUUUGUUCUCAUAUUCAUAUUCAUAUAUGCAUCGUCCAUUCCCCUAAUCUUAACUUCAUUCUAAUUUAGAGUUAUUAUCUCACCCUAUCAUUAAUUUCGACUUCAACAACUUUCCUCACUACGACUCCAUUCUAAUUAAAGGUUUUAUUCUCUCGAUACUGGUCAUUAUUAUCAUCGUCUAACCUUAUAACUAAUAUUUCUUAUCUUCUUUCCUACUAAUUUUUCUCUCUUUUAAUAGAUUCACAUCUUAUUCUUUCCCUAUCAAUAUUCCUAUUAACUUAUGUUACUAAAUCUAAAGAAAAAAUCAUUGAUCGAUGUUUAAGGUGGAGGGAAGGGCAUGUAAAGAAGGAUGAAGUGGUUGAUGAAAGUGUGCAAAAAUUAUAUGAAGAAUGUGAAAGAAUUAUUUCUAUUUUGAUUCUGAAAAUUUAUUGUUACUUCAAAUAAAACUUGUGUAUUUUUUUUACAACCGUCUUAUUUUUUCCGUACUACCAUAUAUUAUUUCAGGUGACUCUAUCUCAAUCUUUUCAAACUUCUAGCUGUAGGGACAUACUUAGUAAAACAUUAAAUGUCCGUGAGUAUCCUAAAACAGUUCUUAAUGAAAGUCAAAAGAAGAGUGAAAAAAAUCCAAGUUCUAAAGAAUUAAUGGCCAAUAUUUAAAAGUUAGAAUCUGAAGUUCAUCAAUUGAAAAAGGAAAAGGGAAAAGAUAUGUCAGGAAGUCAACAUGAUAUGCGUAUCCUUAGUUACAAAGAUAGUUCCAACAUUUAUUUAUAUAAGAACAUUCCCGAGGUAUUUAAUUACUUGUAUAUAUUUCAUUUAGUAAUUUGCUAAUUAUAUUUGUUAUUAACUUUUUGUUGAUUAUUGGUUUAGGGUAUAUCACCUCUUUCAAUGUACCUGUUGUCUCCUACUUAUCGCAUAAUCUCUAAGGGAAGGGUAAACACUAUCUUGGGAGAUAAACUUCACUAUAAGUCACUCCUUGUUGGCUAUUUGAAAGUAUUAAUUAAUAUUGCUUUAGAACAGGAAGCAGGGUUGUCCAUACCUAAUGAUGUUGCUGAUAUAAGCUUGGUUGGAGAUGCAAUAGAAUCAUAUGUGGCAUGGCCAAGAAACCUCAUUUCCCUAAAUCUUGAGGUAAAGUAAAAUAAAUAAAUUAUUCUCUAUGAAAAAAUUGGAGUUUUUUUUUUUGUUUUUUUUGUUUUACUUUGUUUAUGUGUGGUUUUUGGUAUAAAUGUUUAGUUUAUUAUUUUAUCACUAACUCAAUCAGUUACACAUAGAUUCCUGCAACAUACAAAGACAAUGGUAAUGUCGAGAUUAGGAAGGGUGAUGAGUCGGUCACAUAAAAAAAAAACCUAGGUAUAUUGAUACACAAGAAAUGUUCAUUUUACUAUUCAAUCAUUUAUUAAUCAUUAGCUAAUUUAACUAUACAAUAAAUUAGAUUCAAACACAUAAAUUGCGUGAAGGCAGUAAAAUCAUGAAGGAUAAACCAAGAAAUAUGGCAGCUCAAACACAAAAAUUGAAAGAAAACACUAAUUGUAAGAAGGUUUGACAUAGCUAUAUUCAAAUCAUAAAACAAAAACAAGAUAUUGAAAAAACCAAACAUCAAAAGCCUUCCUCUAUAAAGUGUCAUUCAUCAUGUGUGUUAGUUCUAAAAUCCCUUGUAGAAAUGCAAAUGGAAAACACAGAUACGCGUCAGAUAACUAUGGAUGAAGGUAUUUUUGGUGAACAAUAUGAACAAGACAUUAUCAAAGAGCAACUGAAUGAGUUUUUUGAAAAUACAGAAAUAAGUGUCUCUGUUGUCUGUGUAUAUAUCAGGUACUCCGAAUAGCUUUAAAUUGACCUACAAAUUAUUUUAUUUGUAUGAAUGAAAUAUUUAAUAGUAUCUAAUAUUAUAUUUUCAUUCUAGGUACUUGUAUGAAAAAUUUGUGCACGACAGUGAUUUCACAAGGAAAUUCUCCUUCUUGUCCGCCAUCGCAUAUCCUUGAUGUUAAUUGAAGCAGAACAAGAAUUGGUCAAAGAAUACAUGGUUAAGGAAUUCAUGAAAUAUAAAGAUGAGCACAAGUUAUUUAUUCUACCGUUUUAUAUACAUAUGUCUGGAUAAGAUUUUCCUUGAAACUUUGUUUUUGAUUAUUUUUUUCUCACUUUUUAUCACCGUUUAUAGAAGAUUUUCUAACUUGAACAUUUGUGUAGUGGACAUUGGGUGUUAUUUGUCAUUGAUCUCAUAUCGGAAAUCAUAUAUUAUCUGAAUCCAUUACUCAAUGACUAUAUGAAUUACCCAAAAAUGACGACUAUGUUUCACACGUAAGUGUGUGUGUGGUAUAUAUAUAUUUUUAUCUUGCAUAUUUAUUUUUUCGCAGACUUUAGAAUGUAUAUAUAGGCUAAAUGUAAAUCAUUCAUGUGUGCGUGUGUGGGUGUAUGCUUUAUUUUUAUGCUUCAUAGUUUAGUUGUAAAUAUAAUUCAAUGUGAAUAACCGAAAACCACAAAAAAACAUUUUUUUUUACAAUAAACCUUAAUUCAAAAAUCAAGUGAUCCUUUUUUUAUUUUUUCUUAAUCAAAUGUUUAAUCAAUUUAAUCUUUACCAUGAGUCCAUUUUCUUUAAUAUUAAAAAACACAAACAAAUACUCAUUUGCAACUUUGGCUUUUCUUUCAUUCUAAAACCUUUUUCAAAACUAAUAAAAAACACAAAACAAAUCAAAAGUCAAUUUUUACCCGAAACUACGAGGUUUUGAUCCCUCAUGGGUACGUAGGCAAAGGACCAUGUCCUUCCAAAUCAUAAAUAAUGUAGAUAAAUUAGGUCUCUAUUUUAAUCACUUUAAAUUCUUUUUUUCAAAAGUAAGCAAGUUUAUAGCACGAAAAAUAAAUAAAAUCAAGAGGUUCUCGUAGAGUACUACGAACAUAAAGGGUGCUAAUACCUUCCCUUUAUGUAACCAACCCCCGAACCCAAAAUCUUUUCAACGUGGGGUGGUUUGAACUUUUUUCCCCUUUUCUAAAAAAUUAAAUGUUCAGUCGUGAAAUAAAAAGUGAGUCAAACACUAAUAUAAUAGCCCUGAUCUCCAAAAAAUGACGCGACAAGUAACAUGGUUAUAUUUUAUGUUAUAAUAUAUGGAGUACAUUGACGGUUUCAAAUGUUUGACAUAUUCUAAAGAUAAAUUAAUAGAAAUCCAAGAAAAAUGGUGUUAGUUCAUGAUCAGUCUAAGAGUUAUAUGUUAUUUUUUUGAUAAGGCGAGCUUCAUGUUUCUAAAUAUAUUUGCUAGAAGUGGUAGUGCCUUUAAUCUACAUUAUAAUCUUGCAUUAAUUUGUUAUGAAUAGUGCUGGAAUAAAGAUAGAUAUAUAUAUAUAUAUAUAUAUAUAUAUAUAUAUAUAUAUAUAUAUAUAUAUAUAUAAAGAAGAAUAAGAUGUGUGAGUUGAUAUAUAUUAAGAUGAGUAUUAGCCAUUGAUCCAAGUGUUUGGUUUGCUAUUUGAAAAAUGAAAUAGUAUUUGGUUGUUUCACUUGUUUUGUUUUCUUUAUUUGUUAAGUGAAUAAAUGUUUGGACUACGUAUUCUCGGCAUUUGUACAUGAGUACUUAUUGCUUAAAAUAGUGUUGAUGCUUAUUGCUUAAUGUGUUUUCUGCUAUAUAUGUAGGUGGAGGAGAGUUAACGAAAUUUGGAAAUGAAUAAUGAUCUACCUGCUUGUUAUGGAUAAAAAUGUUGAGACGACCAAGAAGAUAGAUGAAGACUGCAUGCUACCACAAAAGAUUUUGGUCUUUAUGUUAAUUAAUUAGUUGUAACUUAGAGAUAUCCAUGAUUUGUAGCUUCGUUUGUUAGUGGCUACAUUUCAGAUUUUUAUGCUAUAUAUACAUACAUUUUAUGAUAUGUUUAAGUUUUAUUUCACAAAUAAUAGUCUCAAUUAUAAUGUGUCAUAUUUCUCUUAGAUAAAUUAUAUAUAUAUAUAUAUAUAUAUAUAUAUAUAUAUAUUAAUUUAAAUUAAUAAAAACUCUAUUUGUAAAAAUAAAAUAUUAAAAUGCUUUUUCUAACGCUUAUUUAAAUAAAACGUUGUUUAAUCUACACAUUAUAGCAAUGCUUAAUGGAAUAAAGCGCUAUCUAAACCUAUUGUUACAAAGCUGUUUUUAGUAGCACAUAAAGAUAGAAGCGUUAUUUUAAACCUCCUUUAGAUGGCUUGUAUUUCUGUAAAUGCUAUCCAAGGACACCCUUUGAUAGCUAUUUUUAACAAAAAGAGCUAUAUAAACCCUGCUUUAGACAACACUUUAUAAAAAAAACAAGCACUAUAUUACAUUUACCAGCGCCAUUUACCAUAGCGCUUUUAAAGUGCUACAAAUGGUCCGAAAAAUCGCUAUCUAUGACCAUUUUUGGCAUAAUGUCUCCUCUCAUAUUAAUCCUCAUAUUACAUCAUUACUUUUCAAAACUCUAUUUCUUUUAGAAUAAUAUAAUAUUAAAUAAAAGUGCAUCAUCAUAAUCCUAAAUAAGACUCAACCUAUUUUAAUAUUAUUAAAUUAAUUGAUUAAAAAUUUGGGGUNAAUAAUAUAAUAUUAAAUAAAAGUGCAUCAUCAUAAUCCUAAAUAAGACUCAACCUAUUUUAAUAUUAUUAAAUUAAUUGAUUAAAAAUUUGGGGUAUGUACAUGUUCAUCUAGGGAGUCUUCUACAGUGCCUACCAAAUCCAUGUUUCUCUAAUCCGUCGGGUGAAUGGACCAUACGACGCACGAUCGUCAUCAAAAUAUGACAAAAACAAUUAGCGUCUUAUAUGCCUUAGGGAGUGGGGUUACCUUCUACUCGGAGAACUCCUAGGAGAUCUUAUUUUUGGAGAAUGUCUAGGAGAACUUAUGUUCAGAGAAUGUCAAGGGGACCUGGAUCUUGAUGGAAGGGUAUUCCUUCCCAUGCUGCUAAGAUGUGGGGAAGGAGGUCGAAAAAUUGAACGAGGAUAUGGUGAUCUCCUCAGUAAUCCUUGGAGUGGGGAUCCUUCAUUUAUUUGAUUUGUCGGUUCUGAUCCUUAAUCAUAUAAUUUUUGCGGUGUAGGGUUUGAAGGAUGUUGUUGAACAUGACAUCUACGGGAGAUGUGUUGCUUGCUUCCUUGUUUGGCCACGAGGGGACAAUUAGUGGAGCCUCUCGAAGGGAACUCGCCAUUGAUGGGACACGAUGGUGCACUCGUCAGUUGGUGAGGGAGUUAAUGUUUGACCGUCACGUUGUGGACGGUGGAUCUCACUCUUGGGAUGCUGCAACGUUGGCCAUCGUAAGAGUAGGUUCCUUUUAGGAAAUUUAUGAAGAUUUGGUCUUUUAAGUAGGAAAAUACGAUACCACUAAUUGUACCUUAUAAGAUGAUGACGUAUGAUGCAGUAGUCUUUGGCUGUUUGUGAGAUUUAAAACGACCAGGGGGGUGUACAUGCAAACACUCUUACGCUCAAGUAAGUUUAAGAUGGUUAGAGAUAGAAAUGGUAUCAUACCUUUGGGGAUUGUGUAAAGUCAUCUUCUAUAAAGGUGACGGGCAUGAGUCGUUGUAAGGCACAAUGAGGCAUCUGACGGUUACAAAUUUCCAGGAAUCGUUAUCGUCGAGCGAGAAUCGUGGGCAUGUUCUACAUUCAGUUUGAAUGUGUCUUACACCCUCCUCGCAGAGAGAGGGUGUGUGUCGGAAGUAAUCGACCAAAAUGCAAGAUUGGGCCUGUUUUGGUUAGGGCAUGUACAAAUAAGCAUUACACAACUGCUCAGUCCGGAACAUAUUUAAUAUAAAAAGAUCAAUAAAAAAUGAGGCAUGCUCUAAGGAAUCAAUUCUAAAUGACGUGAAAUCUUAGCAAUGUACAUUUAGUUGAACCUAAAUACAUGAAAACUAUCAUGCAAAUUCAAGCUUCGAACUUGAAGAAAUCCAUAAAAGAAUAAUGUAUUGUGAUUAGCAAAGCACAAUCACACACAUCUCGAUUGUUCGAUUAAGGAUGAUCCAAUUCUUAAAAAAAUUAUUAUUUAAUAUAAAACUAGAGUUCGUAAAGUAGACUGUCCAAAAUCAAGAUGUAGUGAUUGUGUGCAAUCAUAUAAUCGUGACUACACCUAAUCUUGAUGUAACAAUCAUAGCUUAUUACCCCAUCGCUUCCUUAAUAUAAGAAGAAAACCCAAAAAAUUUCAAAACUAAGGCAAUCAUUAAUUGUUGUAACUUUUUAAAUAUUUUUACAAAUAUACUAUUAUAAAAAAUCUUUUACGUAAUAAAUACACCAUAAAAGUUAUGACUUUUUUUAUAAAUAGAAUCAAUUUUUUUUUUUGAAAAAUUUCUUACUAGAGAGAGUAAUUUUGUUUAACAAUAAAGGUUAGUUGUUACUCAAAUGUGCACAAGUUGAUCCGAUAAUAACGUAAAAACAACUUACAAGACAUGAAGUCAAAUAUGUAUUUAAAAAGAUAAAAAUAUAAUUAACGUGUGCACAAAAAUAAUCUUGACGAAUGCCUUUUACCCUUUUGUGAUUUCAGUUGGACAUUUUUAUUACUAAAGUAUAAUAGAAUAUUUUUUUUGACAAAAACAUAAUAAUAUAAAUUGAUGACCCUGUUCAAAAAAAAUAUAAAUUGAUGACCUCAACGCAAAAUAUUCUUAGGUGUUUUUCUAUAAAUAGUUGUUUCACUCUUUCCAGUGUGUCAAUCAAAAUUUGAUCAAAAUAUGAGCUCUAAAUAUUCAUUAGUAUUACUUUUACUUGGAAUGAUAAUGCUCACCACUGUGAUUGGUGAAAGGAAUGAUAAUAAAUUUGAAUAUGAUCCUAUGUUAGAUCCAGAAGAUGAUUGGCCAGAGAUUUUUAAUGAACCGCUACCAUCCUACUAUAAAAUACCUAAAGAGGAGUCACCUGAUUAUGAGACAAACUUGUCAAAUGAAGCCAUCAACCACACCGUUUGAGCCAGUCCACAUUGCAAAAAUUCCUUACCAUUACAAGUGAUCGAAGUGGCAAAAGUGGGUCUAGUAAAAUAAUAAGAAAAAUUGUUUGUCAUAUGAAGUUUUCUUUUCUUUAUUUUUUUUUCUUCCUAUUUACCUCAAAAAUUCUAUUUUUCAAGUAGUGAAGUACAAUUUGCCCCUUUAUUUGAUUAAAGGCUCAAUAAACAUGUAUAUGUAUAAUAAUUACCUCUCAUUUUAGCAUAAAUAAUGUCAACUACUAAAAGUAUUAUCUAUGAUUACCACAAUAAUGCCAAUUUGGCUUGAUAUAUACUCCAUCUAUUUUUCCUCAGAAAAUAUACUCAAUCUAUUUCCAAUUUUAUUGUCAUUUUUAUAAUUUUUCUUUGUCUCAAUAUUUUUUUUAGAUUUUUCUUAAAAUAAUUGUCACUUUAUAAUAUCUAUGUCAUUUCCGGUUUUCGCCCCUAUAAAAUUUUCGGUUUGAUUUGCACUUUUGUAAAUUUUUUAUUUUCCGGAAAACACCCUUAAUAGGCCAUUCAAAAAUCAAAAUUUUUUGCAAAAAAAAUUCUGAAAAUGGCAUAUUAGGGUGUUUUCUGGAAAAUAAAAUUUUUACGAGGGUGCAAAUCAAACCGAAAAUUUUAUAGAGGUGAAAACCAAAAAUGACAUAUAUUACAGGGGUGAAAAACACUAUUAACCCUUAUUUUUUUCAUUGAUAAAUCUUUAUUUUUUGAAUUUCACCAAACUUAACUACUACAAUUAUUAAAAGUGUUUUGAUAUAUGAUACUACUUUUAUCAUUGAGAGCAAUGAGACAACCUAAAAACAACAAUUAAAAUGAGACAAAUGAUAAAAAUUAAAAUUUAUUGAUUAAACUUAUCCGACAUUCUGACUUUAAAAUUUAUUGAACCAUCACGAGUUUACAUAAGGUUGGAUCAACUCAAUGACCUGAACUUGAUCUGUUCGGUGAGAACGGUUGAGUCGCAACGGUUGUGAAGAAUGGUCCCAUGAUCGGUAACGACUUCCAGUGCGGUGGCGUAGCAUCUUAUGUGAUGGAACGAAAGGUGCCUGCAGACACGUUUGAAUUCCGACAAUCAAGUCAGUAAUGGAACUGAGAGAAAAGUUUUAGAAGUGUAGUGAAAAGUGUUGUGUACCUUGAGGGUAAAGCAAGUACACCCUUAUAUAGGCCCGCUCUUGGCAUGACCGUCUCCGGGUUAUGCGGCAUAUGAUUAAGAGCGGGAGUGGACAUGUGUAGCGUGAUCCCGACAGGGAAGCAUGGUCCAAUGUGGCAUGCCGCAGGCGAAUUGGCGUGCUCCUUUGAGUGCGAAGCCUUGAGACUGCGUAAUAUUGCACAUUUGUUGCCGUGUGAGUGGUCUAGAACUGAGCUAUUUUAUUUUUAAAUUCAUCUUUUUUUCAUGAUAGAGGGCUAAGUGAUUUGGUGUAGUUUCGGAGAAGAUCAUAUCUAUACUAUAUAUAAAGAAAACUACCUCUUUCAGCUCUUUUGGGUUGGAUUUUCUUUCCAAAAAUUCCCUCAAUUUUCAAUACAAAUAACACAUGUAACAAAUAGAUCAAAAUAAAUUUAAAUAUUAAAAUAAAAGUGUAACAAACAUAAAUGUUCAAUUUUUUACUUUAUCAUUUAAAAAGUGUAACAAACUAGAUGAGUGUAUCCAUACUUAUUUUUUCAUUAUCCCAAUUACAUUCCCUUAAACAACAACUUUUUCUAUUCUCUAAAAAAACAACUUUUUCUAUAAUAAAGAUUGUUGUUGGUUUCAUUAAAUAAAUACUCCAUCCGUUCCUUUUUAAGUGUCACUUUUGCAGAAAUUUUUUGUUCCUAUUUAACUGGCACUUUCAAAGUUCAAUGCAACAUUAAAUGUUGUUUUACCAAUAUUAUCCUUAGUUAUUUAUUGCGGAGAGAGAAAUAUAUGAAAUGAGAUAUUAAAUGAAUAAGAUCAUUAUAGUAAAAGUAUAGCUUAUUGCAUUAAAAGGAAUAUCAAUUGUUGAUUGUCUUGAUUUCGUAACUCGCGAAGCGUAUUACGAAAUGUGCAUCACAGGAUCCUGAGGAAUUGACCUAUGUUCAGUCUCGUAUUAACCCCCGUCACGCACUAUGAUAUCAUCCUUUAACGAUAUCAUCAACAUAUAUAUUAUAUCAUCAACAUAUAUAUGAACAAUUAAAAUUUCAUCCUUUAAUAAUUUUCAAAAGAGUGUGAUGUCAACUUGAUCUUGUGAAAACCGUUUUCUAAAAUAAUGUUACUAGGGUCUUUCAUACCAAGCUAUGGCAGCUUGUUCCAGAUUAUACAAUGAAAUCUUCAAACUCAGGAAGUUGUUUCAUACACUUCUUCAGAAAUGAUACCUAUAAAAUACGAACUUAUAAAAUCCACUUGAUAUAGAAUGAUAUCAUUAUUUACAACACAUGAUAAUAAUAGACUAAUUGCUUAUAAUUUUGCUACAUGUGCAAAUGUUUCAGCGAAAUCUAUCUCUUCUUGCUGACUAUUUCCUUGUACUACUAGUCUAGCUUUAAUUUUUACUAUAUCAUUUUGUUUAUUGAGCUUGUUUCUGAAAACCCACUUUAUGACAAUGACAUUAUUACCUUUUGAUCUUGGAACUAUUUCUCAAACAUCAUUUCACUUUGAUAAUUGUGCCCUACAAAAUUCCACUAGUCUUUUUAUGACUUCCGAUCAUAACAAGUAGUAUUUACUAUUUUUACAGAGGCUUUUGUGUCAGUUAUUUAGUUUGCUUGAUGCUUGUUUAAGAGUUAUUUUGAAUAAAUGGUUCUUAUGUUACAUAAGGUUUUUAAAAUUUUAUCUUCUUAAUUAACCUUAUAUUUUACCGUAUCCUCAUUGUGUUUAUUAGGUUUAGAGCUAAAAUAAUUUUUGUUUAAAAAAUAACAUGAACUCUAUGUGAUAUUUUAUUUUUUAAUGAUAUCUUGAGCUGUAGGUAACCAAAUGGAGUCAAACUAUUUCCGAAUGAAAUCUAACAUUAAUUGAUACAAGUUUUCAUAAAUAUACUAAAGUCGAAUUCGGCUUGUAAAAUGGUAAAAAAUGUAAAGGAUCUGAAUACAAAAAAGGAAACAAAGAAGAAGUGGAGAUUCAAUCCCCUCAUGUGUAAUUUUAUAUUUUCCUUUCUAAGUCUGAGUAGCUAACUUUUCUUCAGAUUGAAACUCUUGAUUAGUGAUGUCAAUUUUCUAGCAAGGGUUAGUUCGUUGGCAAGUAGUCAAAUAUAUAAAUUUCUUAACCUAAAGGUUUGCAAUACUUCAACUUGACUGCUACGAUUAUGAUUAAGAUAUGUAAGAGAUAUUAUGAUUAAGAUAUGUAGUUUGGGGGGGGGGGAUUAAAAGGCGACGAGGUCAUAUCAUAUUCCCUUGAUUGAUUGCUCAAUUUUAAGACAUCUGAUCGAAUUAGUCAGGCCAGUGUCUUGGUAACUAACACUCUUCAAUAGUUAUGACUCCCUAAUGUCUUAGGUUAGUCUAUAACCAUUGAAGGAUUAGUAAUGCCAAAUUAAGUACAUAAAUCAUUAUUAGAAAAUUUCUAAAGCUAAUAACAACUGAAUGAUUAAAUUAGGUCAAGCCAUUAACGUUAGGGUUAGUAACCACCAAGACCUAAAUCAAUUUAUAAACAUUUAUAAAUGCAUAAAAAAACAUUAAGGAUAAACUCAACCAAUAAAAUAACAAAGUAGACAACUGAAGUCAUAUGAUAAUGUAAAGUUACAAAAUCAAACGAUUACAGAGAAGUUCCUCUUUUAUGACCUAACCCCGAUAGAAUUAGUUACUCGUUAUUUCUAAACAUAAACUACUGCAUAUGAAUAAGAAAACAUGAGAAAAGGAUCACCAGUUGAUGAAUCCAUGGCUCUCAAAUGGAUCUGAUCGCUCCGAUAAUAUGCUAAAAUCGUGUUUCUGCCUUCAUAUUCUCAUCAAAAAGUGUUUUUUCACUGACCAAGGUGUUUGCCUUAUAUAGGUGCGUAUUUUCCUUAAAAUUAGUGAAAGUUGGCCCGCGAUGUUAGCAUAUAAAUUGCGAUGUUAGUUAAACAUAGAGUGAACACCUUGCAUGUCAUUCAUAUCUCACGAUGUGGAGGUUAUAGCCUGCAAUACGAGAUAGAUAGUGGCUGAAUCUUACAAAUUCCAUUUUGAUUCUACAAAUGACUUAAAACUUCUAUAUAAUUUCAUAUCAUCAAUGAUCCUCUUAGAAUCUAAUUGAGUUAUUUUAUUUAUGAGUUCUAGUUUAUGCAAUUGAUACCCAUGUACAUUCAAUAAUUCUUGUUAUUUAAUUGUGAUCUUACCAAUAUUGAAUUGAACCUAAGGUAUUUAAUUAUGGAUAAUUGGUUGUUUUGGUUGUUUGUAUGACUCUAUGUUUGUAAAGUAGUUCUUUUGGCACACCUUAUGCUAGAGGAGUUGCUUUUGGUGGUUAAUAUAUAUUCCAUUUUUGAUUGUUAAAAAAAAGUUAUUGUUCGCUAAGUAAUUGUCUUAGAGAUAUCAUAUCAUUUAGCUGUGACAAAAUUUAGUUGCCGAUCAUGCUUUUGAUGUUAGAUACGCGAGACCUGGCUUGAGUAAAAAAAAUUGGUUUUGCUAUAUUUUGCUAAAUUGUCGGAAACAUAAUCAAUUGUUACGGCUAGUACCACUAUUACCAAAUAGUAACAAAGAGGGGUUAUUGCCAUCAGUUGUUUCAUUUAAUUUACCUAAUUAAGUGGAACAUAAUUGCCAUGGUUUAGAACUGGGGUUAUUGCUUUAGGUUUUUCAAACGGUUUUUAAAGUCUCCUUAUUGGAGAUGCUUUCUCUAAGGUACAUUAGUUCGGCAUAAAACAUGAUGAAAUUCAUAAAACAUUAACGGAUAAGAUUAGUGUUGUGUAAUCAUUGAGACGAUCCAGAUUUUAAAACCUUACCUUUUAAUCCAAAAUUAGAUUUUAGAUAUGGAUCGUCCGAAACCGAGAUGUUAUAAUUGCGUGCAAUCAUAAGAUCAUGACAACACCUAACCCUAAUCUAAUAAACACCAAGAAUGAUAUAUAUAUAUAUAUAUAUAUAUAUAUAUAUAUAUAUAUAAUACCGUUUUUGCUUAUAAAUAGGAACCAAGGGAUAAGAUAUGGAUUUUUUUUUUUUUUGAGGGAGGAUAAGAUAUAGAGUUAAACAUGUAUAAAAUGGUAGAAAUGUGCACAAAAAUAAUCGCAACAAAUGCACACUACCCUUUUGUGACCUCAUUUGGACCAUUUUUAUUACUAAAGUAUAAAAUAUGAUAAAUAAUUUAAGUUGACGUGCUCAACAUUAAAUAUUCUCAAGGGUUUUCUUAUAAAUAGUUGUCUCACCCUUUCCAUUUGUGUGAAUUAAAAUCUAUAAAAACAUGGCCUCUAAAUACUCACAAGUAUUAUUACUUCUACUUGGAAUGAUGGUUCUUACUACUGUAGUGAGUUAUGGGCAUAAUAAAUUUGGGUAUGCGCCAAUGUUAGAUCUAGAGGAGGAUUGGCCAGACCAAUUCUUUCCACCACUUACCAUAAUUGAGGGUCGAAAGUCGCAUAGUUUUGGAUAUCCACCUAUAUUAGAUCCAGAAGAAGAUUGACCUAAUAACUAAUGAGAAAUCAUUUGUUUAUAAGCCAGUCCACAUUUCAAAGCUGUUGUAAGUACAAUUCUUUAUCAAAUGAGUGUUUUUUUCUUCCCACUUUUGUAUAAAACUCUAAUUUUUAAGAAGUGAUGUACUAUUUGAAUAAAGGCUCUAUAAAUAUUUCUAUGUAUAUUAUAUCUCAUUUCAGCAACAAUAAUGCCUAUUACUAGUGGUUUUACCUAUGAUUAAUAUUUUGUUAUUGUCUACAAUUUAAUUAUUCAUUAUGUGAUAACUAAUCAAUAAUAUUUUUUUUGUCAAAAAAUAAUCAAUAAUAUUUGAACAUUCAUCAUUUCAAUACACUCAUUCAACAAAAUAUUUUCUUUUUGUCUAUAUUUUACAAUCACAUCAUCGAUAUAUCACCAAAAUAUUAUAUUUAACUUAUCACAAUAUUUUUUUUUUCAAGAUAUCCUAGUAAGAACGGAUAUAUCCAAAAACAUUUUUUAUAUUAAAAACCCAAAGAAAAAGAUCAAUUAGAUAACAGCUGUACGUCACAUGUUCUAGAACUAUAAACAUAAAAAUAUUCAAAUUAGUUAUGUGUAUCUAGAACAAAAGAUCCAUCUCCUUUUCUUAGACCAUCGAUAAGAUAAUCCUACCGUGGAGUAGAAAAUUUGAGAUUAAAUUGUAACAUCCUGAUUUUUAAUAUUAACCUGUUAAUAUAAUUAUUGGAUAAUAUUAGUAUUAUUGUCAUUAUUAGUAUUGAUUGCUCGAUAUUAUGAAAUUAAAUUAUUCGUGAUUAUAGGUGAUGUUAUGAAUAAUGAGGAAGUAGAGGAGUUAACUAGUUGGUUAAAGAAUGAGAGAAAAUAAUUUUUUUGGAAGAAAAUAGUGUUUUUGGUAAGAAUAAGGAAGUAGAAUGCAAACAGAGAUGCAUUAGUAAAAUUGGAUAGAAAAGAGGUGGAAGUAGCAAAGUGAUGGACAAAAUUGGCAAGUACACCAAAUUAUAACAAGUAGUAAGUUGUAUCGUUCUUCACAAAGAUUGUCGUUCAACUCAAUAUAUAAUUUGCAAAACUUAUUUUAACACGGAAAAUAGUAAUGAUGGUUAGAAUUGCAGGGUUUAAUUGCCCGACCCAAUGCAAGAUUAGGUUUGUGUGAUUCAGAUGUGUAAUAGUGAUUAGGGAAUCCGUGAAUCCCAUCUUCCUUCUUUGUUGGAUCAAUUCAAAGUCCUUAUUAAUUAAGACCUAAAAACUACAUAAACAAAGAACAAUAAUGAACAAAGUACUCCCAUGAACAAUUAUGAAUAAAUAAGAAAUAAGUACUCCCAUGAACGAAUAAUUUCAGGUUGUCAAUCAUACUAAUCUUCUAUGAAUCAAUUUUUAGGAUUACCUAUACAUAUUUUCAAUUGAAAAAUAAUUACGAACAGACUAGUACAAAUUAAAUCGGACACCAGAAUAUAACUGAAUGAAAACUUUAUUAGUUGAAUCUAACAAAUAAGAAGGGGUUCAUAGUUGAACCCUAAUCAAGAGGUUUAUUUGCUCAUGGAAACAUACAUCAUAACAAAACAAAAUAAAAACAUACCCUAGGAAGAGUACAAGGAGGAGAAAUUCCUCCUUGAAUCUAUGAUGCUUGACCCUUGCUCUAAACCGUCAAUGUUUCUGAAUGAAUAAAAUAGUGUGCAAGGAUCUCUAUUUAUAACGUAAGGUUGCUUAGGAUUUAAUUCGAGAAAACUAGGAUUUUCUACCGAUCCAUGUAUGCCUGGGUCUUCUGGGUUUAUUUCUGAAGGAAUUUCCCUUCUUUAGUCCCAUGCACUUUGGGUUUUGUUGCUCAGAUUUGUUCAAGACCUUUGGAUUGGAGGAUAAUCUUGAAUACUCUUUGAACUAAAAUUUGAGUCCCGGCUGGCCAUGAAUCUGAAAGUCCUUUGUUUUGACUUAGUCAACACCUUGGAUCUUGACUCUCUUGUCUCUGAUGGGUUUCGAUUCUCUGCUUUUUCAGCAUUUGGAUUUGAGUAAAAGAGCAGACCCUUUUGAGUGCAAACAGAACAUGAUAAUUGUUUUGUCUUGACAAGAGUAUGUGUAUCCCUAACAGACGCACUUGUGAAGUCAAUUUCUCUCCCUUUUUUCUUACUAAUAUUGUGAGGGGUUAAUAGAUCUUUACCCCCCUGUAAUAUAUGUCAUUUCCGGGUUUCCCCCCUGUAAAAUUAUUUUUUUGAUUUACCCCCUUGUAAUUUUUUUUUGUUUUGAUUUACCCCCCUAAUAGGCCAAACAAAAACGAAAAUUUCUUGAAAAAAAAUAAAAUUAGUUUUUGUUUGGCCUAUUAGGGGGGUAAAACAAAACAAAAAAAAAAUUGCAGGGGGGUAAAUCAAAAAAAUAAUUUUACAGGGUGGAAAACCGGAAAUGACCUAUAUUACAGGGGGGUAAAAACCUAUUAACCCUAUUGUGAGAUAUGGAAGCUAAUCUACUUCUGUCAAAAUCAUAAUCACUAGAUUCUUCAGAUGAACUAUUGAAUUUAGUUGAAAGUAUGUCGAUUUCAUCUGGGGUUAAAAGUUGCCUUAGCAUGAGAUUUUGUCUUGAUAGAUAGUGAUUUUGGCGUCUCAAAGGUUUUAACUCUUCUGAUAAAAAAUUAAAUUGUUUUUGCAAGUCCUUUAAGGAUCUUGAUUUGUUCAGAUAGAGUCUUAGAAGCCUUCUGACAUAAGGAAUAUACCCAUUACAGAUUUGUUCAAAGAUUACCUCAUCAUCCUUAUCUGAAUAUGAGCUUGGUUCUUCACCAGAAGAUGUUUUAACUACUAAACCCAUAUUAGCUUCCUCUUUGUUGUCCUCAGAGUCUGUAUCUUCAUCAAGCAUCUUCCAGGUUUCCAUGAAGAUUUCCUUGAGCUUUCACUUGUAGGUUUCCCUAUGCUGAUUUUCCCUAAUGCGCCUCAGGGAAAUCAGCUAUGAAGUGACCAUUCUUUCCACAGUUGAAGCAUCCUUUUUUAUUAUCUCUUUUGUCUGUGAAGUGGGAUGUCUUUAAGUCACUGCUUCUGCUAAAUGCUAUCUAAGGACACCCUUUGAUAGCUAUUUUUAACAAAAAGUGCUAUAUAAACCCUGCUUUAGACAACAGUUUAUAAAGAAAACAAGCACUAUAUUACAUUUACCAGCGUCAUUUACCAUAGCGCUUUUAAAGUGCUAUAAAUGGUCCGAAAAAUCACUAUCUAUGACCAUUUUUUGCAUAAUGUCUCCUCUCAUAUUAAUCCUCAUAUUACAUCAUUACUUAUCAUAACUCUAUUUCUUUUAAAAUAAUAUAAUAUUAAAUAAAAGUGCAUCAUCAUAAUCCUAAAUAAGACUCAACCUAUUUUAAUAUUAUUAAAUUAAUUGAUUAAAAAUUUGGGGUUUGUACAUGUUCAUCUAGGGAGUCUUCUACAGUGCCUACCAAAUCCAUGUUUCUCUAAUCCGUCGGGUGAAUGGACCAUACGACGCACGAUCGUCAUCAAAAUAUGACAAAGACAAUUAGCGUCUUAUAUGCCUUGGGGAGUGGGGUUACCUUCUACUCGGAGAACUCCUAGGAGAUCUUAUUUUUGGAGAAUGUCUAGGAGAUCUUAUGUUCAGAGAAUGUCUAGGGGACCUGGAUCUUGAUGGAAGGGUAUUCCUUCCCAUGCUGCUAUGAUGUGGGGAAGGAGGUCGAAUAAUUGAACGAGGAUAUGGUGAUCUCCUCAGUAAUCCUUGGAGUGGGGAUCCUUCAUUUCUUUGAUUUGUCGGUUCUGAUCCUUAAUCAUAUAAUUUUUGCGGUGUAGGGUUUGAAGGAUGUUGUUGAACAUGACAUCUACGGGAGAUGUGUUGCUUGCUUCCUUGUUUGGCCGCGAGGGGACAAUUAGUGGAGCCUCUCGAAGGGAACUCGCCAUUGAUGGGACACGAUGGUGCACUCGUCAGUUGGUGAGGGAGUUAAUGUUUGACCGUCACGUUGUGGACGGUGGAUCUCACUCUUGGGAUGCUGCACCGUUGGCCAUCGUAAGAGUAGGUUCCUUUUAGGAAAUUUAUGAAGAUUUGGUCUUUUAAGUAGGAAAAUACGAUACCACUAAUUGUACCUUAUAAGAUGAUGACGUAUGAUGCAGUAGUCUUUGGCUGUUUGUGAGAUUUAAAACGACCAGGGGGGUGUACAUGCAAACACUCUUACGCUCAAGUAAGUUUAAGAUGGUUAGAGAUAGAAAUGGUAUCAUACCUUUGGGGAUUGUGUAAAGUCCUCUUAUAUAAAGGUGACGGGCAUGAGUCGUUGUAAGGCACAAUGAGGCAUCUGACGGUUACAAAUUUCCAGGAAUCGUUAUCGUCGAGCGAGAAUCGUGGGCAUGUUCUACAUUCAGUUUGAAUGUGUCUUACACCCUCCUCGCAGAGAGAGGGUGUGUGUCGGAAGUAAUCGACCCAAAUGCAAGAUUGGGCCUGUUUUGGUUCGGGCAUGUACAAAUAAGCAUUACACAACUGCUCAGUCCGGAACAUAUUUAAUAUAAAAAGAUCAAUAAAAAAUGAGGCAUGCUCUAAGGAAUCAAUUCUAAAUGACGUGAAAUCUUAGCAAUGUACAUUUAGUUGAACCUAAAUACAUGAAAACUAUCAUGCAAAUUCAAGCUUCGAACUUGAAGAAAUCCAUAAAAGAAUAAUGUAUUGUGAUUAGCAAAGCACAAUCACAUACAUCUCGAUUGUUCGAUCAAGGAUGAUCCAGUUCUUAAAAAAAAUUACUAUUUAAUAUAAAACUAGAGUUCGUAAAGUAGACUGCCCAAAACCAAGAUGUAGUGAUUGUGUGCAAUCAUAUAAUCGUGACUACACCUAAUCUUGAUGUAACAAUCAUAGCUUAUUACCCCAUCCCGUCCUUAAUAUAAGAAGAAAACCCAAAAAAUUUUAAAACUAAGACAAUCAUUAAUUGUUGUAACUUUUUAAAUAUUUUUACAAAUAUACAAUCAUAAUCUUUUACGUAAUAAAUACACCAUAAAAGUUAUGACUUUUUUUAUAAAUAGAAUCAAUUUUUUUUUGAAAAAUUUCAUACUGGAGGGAGAAAUUUUGUUUAACAAUAAAGGUUAGUUGUUACUCAAAUGUGCACAAGUUGAUCCGAUAAUAACGUGAAAACAACAUACAAGACAUGAAGUUAAAUAUGUAUUUAAAAAGAUAAAAAUAUAAUUAAUGUGUGCACAAAAAUAAUCCCGACGAAUGCCUUUUACCCUUUUGUGACUUCAGUUGGACAUUUUUAUUACUAAAGUAUAAUAGAUAAUUUUUUUGACAAAAGCAUAAUAAUAUAAAUUGAUGACCCUGUUCAAAAAAAAUAUAAAUUGAUGACCUCAACACAAAAUAUUCUUAGGUGUUUUCCUAUAAAUAGUUGUUUCACUCUUUCCAGUGUGUCAAUCAAAAUUCGAUCAAAAUAUGAGCUCUAAAUAUUCAUUAGUAUUACUUUUACUUGGAAUGAUAAUGCUUACCACUGUGAUUGGUGAAAGGAAUAAUAAUAAAUUUGAAUAUGAUCCUAUGUUAGAUCCAGAAGAUUAUUGGCCAGAGAUUUUUCAUGAACCACUACCAUCCCACUAUAAAAUACCUAAAGAGGAGUUACCUGAUUAUGAGACAAACUAGUCAAAUGAAGCCAUCAACCACACCGUUUGAGCCAGUCCACAUUGCAAAAAUUUCUUAUCAUUACAAGUGAUCGAAGUGGCAAAAGUGGGUCUAGUAAAAUAAUAAGAAUAAUUGUUUGUUAUAUGAAGUUUUCUUUUCUUUAUUUUUUUCUUCCUAUUUACCUUUAAAAUUCUAUUUUUUUAAGUAAUGAAGUACAAUUUGCCCCUUUAUUUGAUUAAAGGCUCAAUAAACAUGUAUAUGUAUAAUAAUUACCUCUUAUUUCAGCAUAAAUAAUGUCAACUACUAAAAAUUUUAUCUAUGAUUACAACAAUAAUGCCAAUUUGGUUUGAUAUAUACUCCAUCUAUUUUUCCUCAAAAAAUAUACUCAAUCUAUUUCCAAUUUAAUUGUCAUUUUUAUAAUUUUUCUUUGUCUCAAUAUGACUAAGAGCGGGAGUGGACAUGUGUAGCGUGAUCCCGACAGGGAGGCAUGCUCCAAUGUGGAACGACGCAGGCGAAUUGGCGUGCUCCUUUGAGUGCGAAGCCUUGAGGCUGCGUAAUAUUGCACAUUUGUAGCCGUGUGAGUGGUCUAGAACUGAGCUAUUUUAUUUUUAAAUUCAUCUUCUUUUUCAUGAUAGAGGGCUAAGUGAUUUGGUGUAGUUUCGGAGAAUAUCAUAUCUAUACUAUAUGUAAAGAAAACUACCCCUUUCAGCUCUUUUGGGUUGGAUUUUUCUUUGCGGAAAUGCUCUCAAUUUUCAAUACAAAUAACACAUGUAACAAAUAGAUAAGAAUAGAUUUAAAUAUUUAUACUAUAUAUAAAGAAAACUACCCCUUUUAGCUCUUUUGGGUUGAAUUUUUCUUUCCAAAAAUUCCCUCAAUUUUCAAUACAAAUAACACAUGUAACAAAUAUAUAAAAAUAAAUUUAAAUAUUAAAAUAAAAGUGUAACAAACAUAAAUGUUCAAUUUUUUACUUUAUCAUUUAAAAAGUGUAACAAACUAGAUGAGUGUAUCCAUACUUAUUUUUUCAUUAUCCCAAUUACAUGCCCU